UACGGGGGGGGCAAGCGUUGUUCGGAAUUACUGGGCGUAAAGGGCUCGUAGGCGGCCAACUAAGUCAGACGUGAAAUCCCUCGGCUUAACCGGGGAACUGCGUCUGAUACUGGAUGGCUUGAGAUUGGGAGAGGGAUGCGGAAUUCCAGGUGUAGCGGUGAAAUGCGUAGAUAUCUGGAGGAACACCGGUGGCGAAGGCGGCAUCCUGGACCAACACUGACGCUGAGGAGCGAAAACCAGGGGAGCAAACGGG
rnacentral:rRNA from 1 species